rnacentral:rRNA from 1 species
CACGUAGGCACCAAGCGUUGUCCGGAUUUAUUGGGCGUAAAGGGCUCGUAGGCGGUUCGGUAAGUCGGGUGUGAAAACUCUGGGCUCAACCCCAGAGCCGCCACCCGAUACUGCUGUGACUCGAGUGCGGUAGGGGAGCGGGGAAUUCCUGGUGUAGCGGUGAAAUGCGCAGAUAUCAGGAGGAACACCAGUGGCGAAGGCGCCGCUCUGGGCCGUAACUGACGCUGAAGAGCGAAAGCGUGGGUAGCAAACAGG